CAGGUCUAGAAAUAAAGUGAAGAAAAAGACGAAUUAUUUCCCAGGCACACCGCUCCGUGACGACAGCUGACCAGCCUUCCAAGAGCCGCCCGUCAGCACGCCUGUGCUCUGAGCGGUAGUGCCAGCAACACACCGCCCUGCGUUACCUGUUGGUUUCCACUAUUUCGUUCACUUUAUCGAUUUUGCAGUGUAGCCUCCCUGCAGCGAUGAAUCUGGAGAGUUCCCUAACAGAGAAGAGAGAGAGCCUUGAGCGUUCUGAGCCUUACUGCGAGUUGUUAGGGACACGGUCUUUGAAAGGUCGCCGCGGUGGCCUCUGGGGCCCGCUCCCCCGCCCCGGAAGCCCGUGACCCCGCAAGUUCCCACUCACGCGCGGCAGAGAAAACAUCUUCAGAGUUGAAAAGAGCAGUGACUGGGACCCGCUUACCUAGAAGCCAUCUGGACAGCUCCUGUUCUGAACGGCCACUGCUCUCCAACUCCACACGCGCUCCCCCAGUCCAAGACACCAUCACGUCUCCUCCGGGAGCUACUGAACAGCCCAACUGGUCUCCCACGUGGUCUGUGUAAGACCCAGCAUGGAGCCGUCGGACCCCCAGGCUUCGUAUCCCCCAGUCUCUCUUUCCCACAGCAUCUGGAUUAAAACCCGAGCUCCACAGCACGGCCCGCCGGGCCCUGCACCUGCACGCCCGCCUGACUCUGCCCCACCGCCCCACACCCCCACUGCCACUACGCUGCUGCCACGCACUCUUCUGUUCAAUUUUGUCAUCUCUGUGGACUCACUUCUCUCUGAAAUGACUCACAUGCUUGUUUAUUUGCUUACUUGCCAACUCUCCCCGUAACUGGAAUAAAACUGAAAACAAAGACCUGAAGCCACGCCAGCCAUACCGUGACGGCUUAGUCCCUGCUUGACGCCUCACUGAUGGAAGGGCCGAGAGCCCCAUCUUUAACAACCGAUUUGCCGAGAAUUGUGGCAACAACCAAAAAACUGGAGGCAUUAUCGGAGGAACUAUGACCUCGUGUGAAAUACAUGCAGGAGAGCUAAGUCAUCGCUGUGCCAACAGCGCGGAUCACACAGACGGACCAAGACGGCUUUGCACCAUUUGUUAUUGAAAGUAGUCUUCCGUUCCAUCUCGGCUACACAGUAGCUAAGUAGACACGCAGCCCGAGAGCGCAGAUAAUAAAUAUGAAAUGAAACUACGAAAACGAGUCUAUGGAUGUAUAUGUGUGACUGGGACAUCAUGCUGAACACCAGACAGACACUGACCUGGUAACACGUAAAGAAAAAUUCUUAGUGUUUGUUUAGCAAUUGAACUAACGCACACAGAAAAAAUAUACCAGUUCACACGUUAAAAAGUAACUUUAAAAAAUAAACACGAUGUUCUUUACACUUACUGAUCAAUGAAUUCCACACCAACACCAAAGGCUUCUGCCAUGUAGCCCAGGGUCAGGGACCUGUAUGAUUCCAGCAGCUGGCUGUAUGCGUGAAUUCUCAUUUCUCUUACGUAGUAUCGAUAAUGGGGAGCAAAAAGCCAGUCCUUUUUCAUUUCCUGCUCCACGACAGCUGCAGUGAAUAAGGUGACCAGUUGUAAGAAUCUCCCUUUCGAUCAACAAAUCAACUAAAGAACAGACUUUUAACAUAACAAUUAAUACCCCUGAUCUGGAAAAUGUACAUAAAUAGGAAUAAGCAUUGCACACAAGUACAAACUGUUCUACUGAACAACUGCUGCACAUCACUGCUCUGAAUAGUGAGGGUACGACGGGAAGCCAAAAGGCAAGAUCCCUGCUGCCACAGCCACGCGGUUUCCAAGGAACAAAGAGAAAUGAACAAAUAAAGCAGAUGCUCUAUGUGAAUAAACGAGUUCUGUGAAGAAAA